rnacentral:rRNA from 1 species
GACGGAGGAUGCAAGUGUUAUCCGGAAUGAUUGGGCGUAAAGCGUCUGUAGGUGGCUUUUAAGUCCGCCGUCAAAUCCCAGGGCUCAACUCUGGACAGGCGGUGGAAACUACCAAGCUGGAGUACGGUAGGGGCAGAGGGAAUUUCCGGUGGAGCGGUGAAAUGCGUAGAGAUCGGAAAGAACACCAACGGCGAAAGCAACUCUGCUGGGCCGACACUGACACUGAGAGACGAAAAGCUAGGGGGAGCGAAUGGG